rnacentral:lncRNA from 1 species
CACUUGAAAUCUCGGAGAACUACCACAUGUAUCCUCGACUCUCGGAUCUCACCGUCGGACGUUGUACCGCCCCUAUGCUCCACCUGAUAAGUCCCUGAGCCGAGAUCAAAACAUUGCACCUCAUGUGUGGAAGCCCUUUCAUUUGCAAUGAUGAGAUGUCUCUUUGGUUUUUCAGCCCAUCUCUCCCCAGCAACCAGCAAUGCUUCUGCUUUUGCGUGUCUUUCAUUGAACCACGCAACAAGCCUGUAGAAGGUGAAUUCAACGAUUGCGUUCACAGGCAUACCACGUAUCCCCAAUAACAAC